rnacentral:rRNA from 1 species
AUUGAACGCUGGCGGCAUGCUUUACACAUGCAAGUCGGACGGCAGCACAGAGAAGCUUGCUUCUUGGGUGGCGAGUGGCGAACGGGUGAGUAAUAUAUCGGAACGUACCGAGUAAUGGGGGAUAACUAAUCGAAAGAUUAGCUAAUACCGCAUAUUCUCUGAGGAGGAAAGCAGGGGACCUUCGGGCCUUGCGUUAUUCGAGCGGCCGAUAUCUGAUUAGCUAGUUGGUGGGGUAAAGGCCUACCAAGGCGACGAUCAGUAGCGGGUCUGAGAGGAUGAUCCGCCACACUGGGACUGAGACACGGCCCAGACUCCUACGGGAGGCAGCAGUGGGGAAUUUUGGACAAUGGGCGCAAGCCUGAUCCAGCCAUGCCGCGUGUCUGAAGAAGGCCUUCGGGUUGUAAAGGACUUUUGUCAGGGAAGAAAAGGCUGUUGCUAAUACCGACAGCUGAUGACGGUACCUGAAGAAUAAGCACCGGCUAACUACGUGCCAGCAGCCGCGGUAAUACGUAGGGUGCGAGCGUUAAUCGGAAUUACUGGGCGUAAAGCGAGCGCAGACGGUUACUUAAGCAGGAUGUGAAAUCCCCGGGCUCAACCUGGGAACUGCGUUCUGAACUGGGUGACUAGAGUGUGUCAGAGGGAGGUAGAAUUCCACGUGUAGCAGUGAAAUGCGUAGAGAUGUGGAGGAAUACCGAUGGCGAAGGCAGCCUCCUGGGAUAACACUGACGUUCAUGCUCGAAAGCGUGGGUAGCAAACAGG